GAAGAUAAAGUAUUAUUAGUCUGAGAAGAUUCAAUUGUGAUAGCCGCUAUUUAUAGUUAUGGUAGUUGAAUUAUGGUAGUUGGUGGUUGAACUCUGUUUAUGGCUGUAUAUAUUAUUAUUGAAAUUACUUGGGUGUUUAAUUAAUAAUUAUGAGGAAGAUUAAAAUA